rnacentral:rRNA from 1 species
GACGAACGCUGGCGGCGUGCUUAACACAUGCAAGUCGAACGGAAAGGCCCUGCUUUUGUGGGGUGCUCGAGUGGCGAACGGGUGAGUAACACGUGAGUAACCUGCCCUUGACUUUGGGAUAACUUCAGGAAACUGGGGCUAAUACCGGAUAGGAGCUCCUGCUGCAUGGUGGGGGUUGGAAAGUUUCGGCGGUUGGGGAUGGACUCGCGGCUUAUCAGCUUGUUGGUGGGGUAGUGGCUUACCAAGGCUUUGACGGGUAGCCGGCCUGAGAGGGUGACCGGCCACAUUGGGACUGAGAUACGGCCCAGACUCCUACGGGAGGCAGCAGUGGGGAAUAUUGCACAAUGGGCGGAAGCCUGAUGCAGCAACGCCGCGUGCGGGAUGGCGGCCUUCGGGUUGUAAACCGCUUUCGCCUGUGACGAAGCGUGAGUGACGGUAAUGGGGAAAGAAGCACCGGCUAACUACGU